GACUUGUCCAGUGACUUGCAGAAGCUAACCGAUGAGUAUAUGAAGAAGAUUGACACCAUCUUCAAGCAAAAGGAAAAGGAAUUGCUGAAGGUUUGACCGUUGUUUGUGCACAGAUGUAAUGUAAUGGGUGAAUUUCUGCUUUGAGUUUCCAUUUGGGGACAAAUUUGUGAUGUGCAGUGUCUAUAACUAAUGAGAAAGGCACUUCAGAAAUUAAUAGGAUAGCAGUGG
rnacentral:misc_RNA from 1 species